UGCUGCUGGAGCAGACGGUGAGCGAGCUGAUGUCCGCGGGGAAGUCAUUUGCUCUGCUGGGCCAGGAAGUGCAAGAGCUGAGGAAGGAGUUGACGAGCAUUGCUGCAGAGAUGAGCCGUGUGAAGUCGGAACUUCUGGACAUGAGAACAGCGAUAUCUGUGAUGCCUUUGGAAGAGAACGUCCUGAUGUCUGCCUGGGCUCUGAAAAGUGCAGG